rnacentral:tRNA from 1 species
CGCUCUUGUCUUAAUGGUCUGGAAACUGGGCUUGGAACUCAGAGGUUGCUGGUUCGAUUCCCAGGUGA